CUGGAUGUUCUCCUCAGCCAGGGGAUAAGAGAGGCCUGGGGGGAAACAGCCCAUCCUAGAGGCCUGAGAGAGCAGAUCUGGGGGCACCUCCACCAUGGCCUGGACCCCUCUCCUCCUCACCCUCCUGGCUCACUGCACAGCCUCUGUGGCCUCCUUUGAGCUGACCCAGCCACGCUCAGUGUCAGUGGCCCUGGGACAGAUGGCCAGGCUCACCUGCUCUGGAGGAAAAUUUGAGAAAAAAUAUGUUCACUGGUACCAGCAGAAGCCAGAUCAGGCCCCUAAGCUGGUCAUCUAUGAGGAUAGCAAACGGCCCUCUGGGAUCCCUGAACGAUUCUCUGGCUCCAGCUCUGGGAACACAGCCACCCUGACCAUCAGCGGGGUCCAGAAUGAGGAUGAGGCUGACUAUUACUGUCAGUCAUGGGAUAGUGACAGUGAUGCUGCCCACAGUGACACAGACAGAUGGGGAAGUGAGACAAAAACCCAGUCCCCUGUCUGUGUCACUCUCCCUCAAGCCCCAGGAGGACUGAGGACAAGCAGUGUGCAGGCCUAG